rnacentral:rRNA from 1 species
CGAAUGCUGACAUAAGUAACGAUAAAGCGGGUGAAAAGCCCGCUCGCCGGAAGACCAAGGGUUCCUGUCCAACGUUAAUCGGGGCAGGGUGAGUCGACCCCUAAGGCGAGGCCGAAAGGCGUAGUCGAUGGGAAACAGGUUAAUAUUCCUGUACUUGGUGUUACUGCGAAGGGGGGACGGAGAAGGCUAUGUUGGCCGGGCGACGGUUGUCCCGGUUUAAGCGUGUAGGCUGGUUUUCCAGGCAAAUCCGGAAAAUCAAGGCUGAGGCGUGAUGACGAGGCACUACGGUGCUGAAGCAACAAAUGCCCUGCUUCCAGGAAAAGCCUCUAAGCAUCAGGUAACAUCAAAUCGUACCCCAAACCGACACAGGUGGUCAGGUAGAGAAUACCAAGGCGCUUGAGAGAACUCGGGUGAAGGAACUAGGCAAAAUGGUGCCGUAACUUCGGGAGAAGGCACGCUGAUAUGUAGGUGAAGCGACUUGCUCGUGGAGCUGAAAUCAGUCGAAGAUACCAGCUGGCUGCAACUGUUUAUUAAAAACACAGCACUGUGCAAACACGAAAGUGGACGUAUACGGUGUGACGCCUGCCCGGUGCCGGAAGGUUAAUUGAUGGGGUUAGCGCA